GACGAACCGUCCGAACGUUAUUCGGAAUUAUUGGGCUUAAAGGGUGCGUAGGCGGCCUUGUAAGUCGGGUGUGAAAUCCCACGGCUCAACCGUGGAACUGCGCUCGAUACUGCAUGGCUUGAGGGAGACAGAGGUAAGCGGAACUGAUGGUGGAGCGGUGAAAUGCGUUGAUAUCAUCAGGAACACCGGUGGCGAAAGCGGCUUACUGGGUCUCUUCUGACGGUGAGGCACGAAAGCUAGGGUAGCGAACGGG
rnacentral:rRNA from 1 species